CUGGCUAGGGUUAAUGGCAGGCAUGCUUCUUUUGGAGCUUGUCUUCAUGUUGUGCUGCUUUAGAAUCUGGUAUUCCUGGAAGAGAAAACGUCGCAGCUCUGGACAGGAGAUGAAAGGCGGGGGCUUCCCCUCACACCCAGACUGCUUGUGGAGCACCUCCAGCAGUAAUAAGGGCCUGGUCAGCCCUUUCUGGAGUUCCGCAAAGAGGACAUCAGUAGAUCUCUCUAAAAAGGAAAUCUCCAAAGACCCUGUAGAUCCCACUGCCACUUCCUCUCCCCAUGGGUAUCCCCAAGCUGCCUUCACCCAUUUUUGAUCUCCCUCUGUCCCGUCCCAGCCCAUUCCCCAGUUCUUCUAAAGACCCCGGUACCAGCCCAGCACCCUCCAGCCCCAACUGAGACCAACAUGGUCCCUCCUCUGCCCCUAAGCUCCCUGGCCCUGCCCCCUAAAUGCUAUUGAAGGUAACCCCCCGCCCCUGCCAGGGUAGGUGAUGGCCCCCACUUCGGUUGCAAUAAAGAGAUGGAGCUGUCA